rnacentral:lncRNA from 1 species
ACCCCUCAGAGCCUCACCAGGCACUCGCAGCUCAGUGCAAAGUCUCAGUAAACAUUUAUUCGAAGCUUUGCCACAAUUAACCUUAAGUUGAUUUGUGAAACUGGUCUACAAAUACUGAACUACGGAGUACAUGGUUCGGAUGGUCCGAUAAAGGAAUAAAUAAAGGCAUGUAAAGCUCUGUAAAAAAUAAGUCUGGUACAGCUGUAACUACUUAACAGGAUUACCAGUAGGAUCUCGUAUGUGUCUAGGAUCAGAAGUGAACACACGGCAUCUCUUCAGACCAAAUAAUUUUUACAUAAACAGUUGUACAAACUUAAACACUGUAAUCAUGAAACCUGAUGUACAAAACAGGAUGUGAAAUCACUACCAUCAGUGCCAACAACAAGUGCUACCACAGCAAAUAUAACUUCUGAAUAAAAGGAAAAGAUCAGUUUUUACAUGUGCUGUCAUCACAGGUCGAUGGAAUUAUCCAAAAAGUUUAAAAUACAUGCGGAUACAAUAAAACCUUUUAUUUUAUCCAACCCAGACAAAGAGAACUCAUGGUCACUUAACGCCAUUAGCUGCCAAAUACAGAUCAGUAUGUGAGGCAAACCACACUUAAAACACUUCUACACCACCGAAGAGCUAAGGUUGAUACUGGUCUAUUUCCCACACCGACGAUGCGAGAGUCUGGAGAAGCAAACCACGACGUGAAGGAGGCGCUACAAGUACAGCACGGAGCUACACCAGGUGUGCACACUGCACCUGACACCCAAAACCACCGGGAAGCGUCACAUUCCACAGGACACAUCGGCUAUCUACAGCUGUGCGCGCCCAGAGGAGCCGCCCUGGCUGCGAGGGCGGGAGGAGCACGGAGGAUUCCAGGGGCUGGAGCCCAGAGCAGGCAGCUGAAAACCUUCAGGAAUGGCAACACUGCAGGAUUCCAGAGGCUGGAUCCUAAAGCAGGCAGGUGAAAACUUUCAGGAAUGGGAACACUGCAGGAUUCCAGAGGCUGGCUCCCAGAGCAGGCAGCUCAAAACCUUCAGGAAUGGGAACACUGCAGGAUUCCAGAGGCUGGCUCCCAGAGCAGGCAGCUGAAGACCCUCAGAACCCCGGUGAGUUCCGGAUCCCGGGCAGCCAGACCCAUCCUUGGUGCUUGUGCCAGCUGCUCACACAGGGAUGGGCUCUCCAGCGGGCACAGGAAGGUCCAGGAGCAGGAUCUGUCCUGCAGGAGCAGCCAGGUGAGGCUGUCCCUGUGUCACCUGUGCCCCAGCAGGGCACCAGGGGCGUGGCAGAGCUCCAUGAAGUCACAGCAAAAAGCUGAAGCUGCCAGGGUUGUCCUGUGCCAUCCCUGCCCUGGGGCAGAGUCACUGCCACAGAGCCCUGCCAGUCUCUGA